UAAGUGGUACAAAAUAAAAGAAAAUGAGGAUUAAAGGGUCCUUUAAAAAAAAAAAAAAGGGAAAAAGAGAUGUGGGCCAAGCCCACAAAAAAGAAGAAAAAGAAAAUAAAGAGAAAAAGGAAUAAAAGUCUGAUGCAUCAUACGUGAAAACAGAAAACAAAAAUGAUAGAAGCAGAAACAAGAAAAAAAAAACGCAGUAGAAGGAAGGGAAGAAAAAGAGGGGAGAAAAAUAAGGAUUUUCAACCUAAAUCAUCAAGUUUGAGGCAAUCCGGAGACUCGAGAACGCAGUUUUGAUUUAUUGGGAAGUGUGCUUGAAUUGUGAAUUUGAGAUACUGUCGUUGAGAACGGGGCUGGUAAUUGAAGACUUCGUGAGUGGAUUCUGUUGCUGAGGUGAGCCACCGCAUUGUUCGUGGAGGCAACCAUUUCAGCUUUAUCUAGUUUAUUUCUAGUUAUUUCUUUUAUUUUGGGUUUACAUGCCCGACACUCAAACUCAUGUAACUCUGUUAGAUGCUCCAUGAUCUUAGCGUGGGAUGUGGGCUAGAGAUUCUUUUUAUCUUAGCGUUGAUUGAUUUUCGUAAAUUGAUUAAGGAUUUGGUUGGCGACUAUUUCACAUUUUUAUCAUUAAUAACGUUGUUGGACCUGCACUUAUUUUCUUUUAGUG